CAAAGGUAGCAUAAUCAUUUGUCUACUAAUUAUAGACUAGUAUGAAAGGCAAAAUGAGGGUCUAACUGUCUCUUAUAGUAAGUCAAUUAAACUGAUCUACCAGUAAAAAAGCUGGAAUACACACACAAGACCAGAAGACCCUGUGAAGCUUAAACUAAACUAUUAAAAUUCUAUAAUAGCUACUUUCGGUUGGGGCGACCUUGGAAAAUAAAAGAACUUCCAAACAUAAUGAUUAUUUAUUAUCAUCCUCUAGGCCAACAAGCCAUAUAUGACCCAGCAAGCUGAUAAUUGAACCAAGUUACUCCAGGGAUAACAGCGCUAUCUUCUUCAAGAGUCCAUAUCAAAAAGAAGGUUUACGACCUCGAUGUUGGAU
rnacentral:rRNA from 1 species